ACUAUUUUUCACUUAAAAAAUUGUGAGUAAAAUCCCGGUUUUGCCCCCCACCCCCGCCUCAAAUACGUUGUUCUCCCGAUUCUUACCCUAUCAACCCCAUCUUCGCCGUCGGAUACCAAAUUUACAGGUGUUUUGAUUUGAUGGCGGAUCGAAGCUCAACUGCUUCAAAGCCUAUAUGGAUGAAACAGGCGGAGGAGGCCAAACUGAAAAGUGAGGCUGAAAAAGCUGCUGCUGCUAAAGCAGCUUUCGAAGCCACAUUUAAGGAUGUCGAUAAGAACCAUAACAAGGAUGUGGUGGCUGCUUCAUCGGAUAGUGAGUCUGAGGACACCAGUGACUUGGCGGACAAGCCAAUUGGUCCUGUGGAUCCUGCCAAAUGCAUGGCUGCGGGACCAGGAAUAGCGGGUGGCACUGCCUGUGCAGCCUCCACGUUUAUGGUGGUAACAAAGGAUGCAGAUGGGAGGAAAGUACAGAGUGGGGGUGCACAGAUUAAGGUGAAGGUUUCGCCAGGUGUGGGUGUUGGGGGGUCGGAACAGGAGGGCAUUGUAAAGGACAUGGGAGAUGGGACUUACACGGUGACUUAUGUGGUGCCUAAGAGAGGGAACUAUAUGGUUAACAUUGAGUGCAAUGGGAAACCCAUCAUGGGUAGCCCUUUCCCGGUGUUCUUUAGUGCAGGUUCUUCUACUGGAGGACUACUAGGGGUGGCUCCUGCAUCCACAUAUCCAAAUCUAGUAAACCAGACCAUGCCCAACAUGCCAAACUACACAGGAUCUGUUUCUGGAGCUUUCCCUGGCUUAUUGGGAAUGAUCCCAGGCAUUGUUUCCGGUGCUUCGGGUGGUGCUAUUUUACCAGGAAUGGGGGCAUCUCUUGGGGAAGUUUGUCGAGAAUACCUCAAUGGCCGUUGUGCUAAAACUGAUUGCAAAUUGAACCAUCCUCCUCACAAUUUGCUGAUGACUGCUUUGGCUGCAACAACCAGCAUGGGUACUCUCAGUCAGGUUCCUAUGGCACCUUCUGCUGCUGCGAUGGCUGCAGCUCAGGCUAUUGUUGCUGCUCAGGCCCUUCAAGCUCAUGCUGCUCAAGUGCAAGCACAAGCUCAGUCAACCAAAGAUUCAGCUGAUUCUCCUGACAAAGCUGGGAAGGCUGAUGCUUUGAAAAAAACCCUACAAGUUAGCAAUCUUAGCCCGCUUCUCACUGCAGAGCAGUUGAAGCAGCUUUUUAGCUUCUGUGGUACAGUUGUUGAGUGUACAAUCACUGAUUCAAAGCAUUUUGCUUACAUAGAAUAUUCAAAACCUGAGGAAGCAACAGCUGCUUUGGCAUUGAACAAUAUGGAUAUUGGUGGUCGACCAUUAAAUGUGGAGAUGGCCAAAGCGCUUCCUCAGAAACCAGCUAUUUCAUCAUUGACUUCUUCAUCUCUGCCUAUGAUGAUGCAGCAAGCUGUUGCCAUGCAACAGAUGCAAUUUCAACAGGCUUUGCUUAUGCAACAAACCUUGACUGCUCAGCAGGCAGCUAACCGAGCUGCAAGCAUGAAGUCUGCAACAGAGUUAGCCGCAGCAAGAGCUGCAGAAAUAAGUAAGAAGCUGAAAGCUGAUGGACUUGUUACCGAAGAGAAGGAAACUAACAGUAAAUCUAGGUCACCAUCAACUCCUCGUGCAAGGUCAAGAUCCAAAUCAAAAUCACCCAUUAGUUAUCGGAGAAGAUCAAGAUCAAAGUCUAGGUCACCUAUCAGUUAUCGGCGAAGGUCAAGGUCCAAGUCAAGGUCACCAAUAAGUUAUAGGCGAAGAAGGAGGUCUCGCUCUUAUUCACCUCUGCCUCGUUUCCGGCGAGAGCGUAGGUCCAGGUCACCUGUGCGAUCUCAUCAUCGUUCAAGGUAUGAUAGUGAACGGCGUUCAUAUAGAGAUAGGGAUGACAGUGACAGGAGUAGGAGACGAGAUCUGGAGAGAUCACGCGAUCAUCAUUCAUCUAUUUCAAGGAGAAAUAGGAGUAGGAGUGCUAGUCCUCGAACAAGAAAAUCACCUGUAGAUUCAGACUCCCCAAAACAUAGCAGAGAAAGUUCACCAAAGGUAAGGAAAUCAUCCCAUCCUGGUUCAAGAUCACCAAGGCAUCAUAGAAGAAGUAGGUCAUCCCCAAAGAAUGGUGAUGAAAGAAAAUUGAAACACAGAAAACACUCUAGGUCAAAAUCUGUUGAUUCUGAUAACAUAAAGGAUGAAAUCCCAGAUGAAAAAUCAAAGCAACGUGGCAGAAGGCGACCCAGGUCAUUAUCUUCAGAAGGUAAGGAUCAAGUAAGAAGCAGAUCUUCUGCAAGUUCAGAUGAAAACAAAUCAAAACAUAGAAGGCAGUCCAGAUCAGUUUCUGUGGAAGGCAAGGUUCACUCCAACAGUAAAAUUGAUGAAAGGAGAAAAGAUGACUCAAGACAUAGUGAUAGAAGGCGGUCCCGGUCAGGAUCUGCCGAAGGUAGGCAUUACACCAAAGAGAAGAGUGAUAGAAGUAGAGAUAAGAAGUCUAAGCAUCGAGAUAGAAGGCGGUCAAGGUCAAGAUCUGCUGAUGUUAAGCAUCACAGAGGAAGCAAGCUGUCCCCCAGAAAUUCAGAUGAAAAUAGAUCAAAACUCCAAUGGCGCUCCAGGUCAAAGUCUACUGAUGGCAAGUAUCGUUCCACUGAUAAAAUAGAUGACAGAUCAAAACGUCGUGACAAAAAGCAUUUAUUAUCUUCCGAAGGUAGGCCUCCUAGAGGAAGCAGAUCUUCUCCAAGAAGUUCUGAAGACAACGAUUCAAGACACAGAAGGCGUUCUAGGUCAAAGUCAACUGAAGGUAAGUGUUAUUUGGAUCAUGACAAUAAAAGUUCACCACAUUUUGGCCAAAAAAUAGGAAAGACUGGAGAUGAUAGUGGGCUGCUUACUUCCAUUGUGAAUGAUUUAAAAAAUACAGGGGAUGAUGGAAUGUUGGUUUCAAAAGAGGAGGCUUAUGACUCCAAAGUUUCAAUGAAUGGUGAUCAGGAAUUGAAGAGCAAAUACUUAUCAAAGUUUGGCAGUGAUGAAGGACUCUCACCAAAUAGCGGAUUGGAUGCAGAUGAACAGAAAAAACCUGAAAGAUCAAAUAGUAAGAAGUGGCUUGACAGUAAUGGAUCAGAUCAUUCCAUUUCUCCUCAGCAGAAAUGAGCUGUGGGCUUUAUGUGGAACUGGACCUUGGGGGAUUUUUGCGACCAAAAGCUGUUCCAAGCUGUCUGACUUCUGAGUCUCCAAUUUAAGCUUGGUUCAGUUCAAGCUUGUUCGGAUAUAAACAACUUAUUUAGAGUUUAAUGAGCUUCUGGCUCCUAAAUGAACAGCAGUUCACUUAAGAGAUUGCUUAGUGUUUCUUUUGGUGUUUGGAUUUUUCAGCCGUCUAUUGGUUCUUCAUAAAUGUAUGCCCUUUGUGCUCUUUUAUCCUUUGCAGGCAUGUGGAACAGAUUGGAAUUGAAGUCUCUGAGCUGACAUUAACAAUGGUUAAAGUAUUUCAAGCCAUGUUCUGCUUUCUACUGCAAUCAACCAUGCAAUGUUUGUAGCAAGCUUCUUUUACUACUUGAUGUUAUGUACUUGGUCUUCCUCUUGGAGCUGUCAGUGAUCAGUUUGGAGGGUUGAUUUUUACUUGAUCUAUGUGAAGGUAUGCAGUCGGUUUGUAGCAGAGAGCUUAUGCUAUAAAUUUUCUGUUAACAUUUUUGAAAUUUCUUUAGUGUUGAUUGCUAUAAAUGUGGAUGAAUGCAUUUCUCUGCUGCUGUCUGCAAUACUUUAUAACUUUUCUCCAAUGUAUUAUGAAGCUGGUUCUUUACUCUUGUUCCAUCUUUUUCACUUGCCCCGUAUUGUUUUCUUUUUCUUUUUUUUUUUCUAUUUGUUUUUCCCCUUUUCCAAGGAAAGUUCUUGGACAAAGCUACUUUAAGGUCCUGCAUAACCAGAUAUCGCCAGGAUGAAUAGCGUCUCUAUUUGAGCCCCAUAGCUGAUUGGUUGAUCACUUAACUUAAUUUCAUGGUUUUCACAGGUAAUCUUCCAUGACACUGCUUGGCUGAGUUCUGUUUAUGGUAGUAAUUAGUAAGUUAGAUUUGCUUGCAUUUGUGCCCUAGAUGUUAAAUCUUGGGGUAUAGUGACUUGAUUCUGGUUGAUCACCAAAAUUCUGUUGAUCAACAGAAGCAAUUGGAAACCUUUAAAUUCUGCUUUGUCACAUGGUUCACUCCUGGAAAACUUCAUCUAAAGAUUUUCAGGUUUUCCCAUUUUGGAAUUUUAGACAUUAUUUGGUCUUUUCAUUGGGGCUAGGUUGGAGUCAAGAGUGAAUUUUGUUUUAAUCAUUUGGAAUUGGUAAGCAGUUCAUUAUGUGUCAACUUUGAAGACUAGAUGCAUUUGUUCUAUUAUUGAUUGCAUAUGCAUUUGCACUAGAGUAGAACUGUAACAUUGUGAUGUUAGUGUCUAGAACUUACUUAAUUUUUUUUCCUCUUCCAUC